rnacentral:rRNA from 1 species
AGCAGCCGCGGUAAUUCCAGCUCCAAUAGCGUAUAUUAAAGUUGCUGCAGUUAAAAAGCUCGUAGUUGAAUUUCGGGAUCAAUAUGUUGGUCGUGCCUCGGUACGUACUAGCUUAUUGGUUUCUCCCUUCUGACGAACCAUGAUGUCAUUUAUUUGGUGUUAUGGGAAAUCAGGACUGUUACUUUGAAAAAAUUAGAGUGUUUAAAGCAGGCUCACGCUUGAAUACAUUAGCAUGGAAUAAUGAAAUAGGACGUUUGAUUCUAUUUUGUUGGUUUCUAGGAUCGACGUAAUGAUUAAUAGGGAUAGUUGGGGGCAUUAGUAUUCAAUUGUCAGAGGUGAAAUUCUUGGAUUUAUUGAAGACUAACUACUGCGAAAGCAUUUGCCAAGGAUGUUUUCAUUAAUCAAGAACGAAAGUUAGGGGAUCGAAGACGAUCAGAUACCGUCGUAGUCUUAACCAUAAACUAUGCCGACUAGGGAUCGGGAUGAUGUUAAUUUUUAAUGUA